UCGACACAGUGCUUCUGAACCAGUGUGUUGUUUUUUUCGACACACGCUCCGGAGCGUCAGCUUCAAGCGGGCCAUCACUAGUAGAAAGUGUGUAAUGAACCGCUGAUCUGUACCAUAAGUCAUCCUUGCGGGGGUUGUCGGAACUGUAUGCGCAGUCGCACUAAGGACAGAUGUGCUCAGAGGCAUGCCCCGUAACGUGUAUGAGAGGUCUGUCGUGCGGCAGGAAUAAGUUGUACAAAGUCCAUCUUAGACAUGUGUGUCAUGCAAGCUAGCAGCAUCCCAUGAGAAACGGGCCGAAGUGUUUAAGUGUUCACCGGAGUUUGCACCCUUGGCAAGCGGACUGAGUUUUCACGGUGCUCAAUGUCCAGAGAAUGAGGCGUGUGUGGUGAGGAAAUAAAUGGCUGCACCCGUUAGAGACUCUUCUGUCAUUCUUGAUGCCAAGGGCUGCUACAAAUCCAUCGCAUGCGAUGAGAGCACCGAUGCCACAGACACCGCACAGCUGCUAAUUUUUUUUUUUUUUUGCGGGGAGUGGACGAGAGCACGAGCACUUUAGGUGAGUAAAAACUACAUUCCACAGUACCCGCGUGUUAAUAUGCAUGCAUGUGCAGGUACACAUGCUUCAAAUAUCAAUAAUGCGCAUCAAUUCUGUCACUACCCUGCUUUUGCGCACCACUUUCUUAUAUGCGUUUUUCUUGUUAACACACAGA